GGAUUUGAUUAUAAACUAAAAUCAAGUUGACGAAUUGAUUCAAUGUAUCAUAGCUACCAAUGGGAAAAAGAGACACCAAUGCAAAUUCUCCUGCUCUUGUAGAUUUAUAAGCUCCAACAUCAAACAAAUUAGAUCAAAAAAAUUAGUAGCGAUAGUUUGGGGGUGGAUGUUAAGUUAUUAAUCAUCCCAUUAUCACUAACAAGGCACUACUAUGGUUCUUUGAAAGUCCGAAAUUACAUUGCAAAAAUGAU
rnacentral:lncRNA from 1 species